AACGAACGCUGGCGGCAUGCCUAACACAUGCAAGUCGAACGAGACCUUCGGGUCUAGUGGCGCACGGGUGCGUAACGCGUGGGAACCUGCCUUUAGGUUCGGAAUAACUCAGAGAAAUUUGAGCUAAUACCGGAUGAUGUCUUCGGACCAAAGAUUUAUCGCCUUUAGAUGGGCCCGCGUAAGAUUAGCUAGUUGGUGGGGUAAAGCCUACCAAGGCGACGAUCUUUAGCUGGUCUGAGAGGAUGAUCAGCCAC
rnacentral:rRNA from 1 species